GACGAACGCUGACGGCGUGCUUUAGACAUGCAAGUCGAACGAGAAAGCCCUUCGGGGCUAGUAAAGUGGCGAACGGGUGAGUAACACGUGGGCAAUCUGCCCUUCGUUGGGGGACAACCGGGGGAAACCCCGGCUAAUACCCCGUAAGCUUGUCGGGUCGCAUGGCCUGACAAGGAGAGGUAGCUUCGGCCAUCCGGCGCAGGAGGAGCCCGCGGUACAUUAGCUAGUUGGUGAGGUAAAGGCCCACCAAGGCGACGAUGUAUAGCUGGUCUGAGAGGAUGAUCAGCCACACUGGGACUGAGACACGGCCCAGACUCCUACGGGAGGCAGCAGUCGGGAAUCUUGCACGAUGGGCGAAAGCCUGAUGCAGCAACGCCGGGUGAGCGACGAAGGCCCUAGGGUCGUAAAGCUCUGUUGUUAGGGACGAAGGACGAAGGGUUAAUAGCCCUUAGCCUGACGGUACCUUUCGAGGAAGCCCCGGCUAACUACGUGCCAGCCGCCGCCGUAAGAC
rnacentral:rRNA from 1 species